UACUCGACCAGUCAACCAAAGGUAGUGC
rnacentral:sRNA from 1 species